AUUGAACGCUGGCGGCAGGCUUAACACAUGCAAGUCGAGCGGAGAGAGGUAGCUUGCUACUGAUCUUAGCGGCGGACGGGUGAGUAAUGCUUAGGAAUCUGCCUAUUAGUGGGGGACAACAUUUCGAAAGGAAUGCUAAUACCGCAUACGUCCUACGGGAGAAAGCAGGGGAUCUUCGGACCUUGCGCUAAUAGAUGAGCCUAAGUCGGAUUAGCUAGUUGGUGGGGUAAAGGCCUACCAAGGCGACGAUCUGUAGCGGGUCUGAGAGGAUGAUCCGCCACACUGGGACUGGAACACGGCCCAGACUCCUACGGGAGGCAGCAGUGGGGAAUAUUGGACAAUGGGCGGAAGCCUGAUCCAGCCAUGCCGCGUGUGUGAAGAAGGCCUUAUGGUUGUAAAGCACUUUAAGCGAGGAGGAGGCUACUUUAGUUAAUACCUAGAGAUAGUGGACGUUACUCGCAGAAUAAGCACCGGCUAACUCUGUGCCAGCCGCCGCAGUAAUAC
rnacentral:rRNA from 1 species